CCAAUAGCGUAUAUUAAAGUUGUUGCAGUUAAAAAGCUCGUAGUUGAAUUUCGAGAUCAAUUUUCUUGGUCAUACCUUUGUAUGUACUGGUCUUAUUGAUUUCUCCCUUCUGAUGAACCAUGAUGUCAUUAAUUUGGUGUUAUGGGGAAUCAGGACUAUUACUUUGAAAAAAUUAGAGUGUUUAAAGCAGGCUCACGCUUGAAUACAUUAGCAUGGAAUUAUGAACUAGGACGUUUGAUUCUAUUUUGUUGGUUUCUAGGAUUGACGUAAUGAUUAAUAGGGAUAGUUGGGGGCAUUAGUAUUCAAUUGUCAGAGGUGAAAUUCUUGGAUUUAUUGAAGACUAACUACUGCGAAAGCAUUUGCCAAAGAUGUUUUCAUUAAUCAAGAACGAAAGUUAGGGGAUCGAAGACGAUCAGAUACCGUCGUAGUCUUAACCAUAAACUAUGCCGACUAGGAAUCGGAUGAUGUUAAUUUUUUAAUGACUCAUUCGGCGCCUUACG
rnacentral:rRNA from 1 species